AUUGAACGCUGGCGGCAUGCCUAACACAUGCAAGUCGAGCGAGCGGCGGACGGGUGAGUAAUGUAUGGGGACUGCCCGCUAGAGGGGGAUAACUACUGGAAACGGUGGCUAAUACCGCAUACUGUCGGGUUACCCAUAUGGGAUUAGCUAGUAGGUAAGGUAAUGGCUUACCUAGGCGACGAUCCCUAGCUGGUCUGAGAGGCUGAUCAGCCACACUGGGACUGAGACACGGCCAAGACGCCUACGGAGGCAGCAGUGGGGAAGAUUGCGCAAUGGGCGAAAGCCUGAUGCAGCCAUGCCGCGUGUAUGAAGAAGGGCCUAGGGUUUUAAAGUACUUUAAGUCGGGAGGCGUUACCGACAGAAGAAGCACCGGCUAACUCCGUGCCAGCAGCCGCGGUAAUAC
rnacentral:rRNA from 1 species